GAUGAAGAACGUAGCGAAAUGCGAUACGUAAUGUGAAUUGCAGAAUUCAGUGAAUCAUCGAAUCUUUGAACGCAUAUUGCGCUCUCUGGGAUUCCGGAGAGCAUGCUUGUUUGUGUAUCAGUAAACACCUCAACUUCCAUAUCUUUUUUGAAAUGGGAGUUGGACUUGAGUGAUCCCAACGCUUUUCCUCACCGAAAAGUGGCGGGUUACUUGAAAUGCAGGUGCAGCUGGACUUUUCUCUGAGCUAUAAGCAUAUCUAUUUAGUCUGCCUAAAAAACAGAUUAUUACCUUUGCUGCAGCUAACAUAAAGGAGAUUAGUUCUUGUGCUGACUGAUGCAGGAUUCACAAAGACAGGCUUCGGCCGACUUUGUAAACUCGAUCUCAAAUCAAGUAAGACUACCCGCUGAACUUAAGCAUAUCAAUAAGCGGAGGA
rnacentral:misc_RNA from 1 species